rnacentral:lncRNA from 1 species
AGCAGGGUCUUCUGGGGUGUACCACCUCUGCCCUCACCCAGGCUCCACCACGACCAGCUUCGUCCACCCCCCAGGAGACCAUGAAGGCCCACGUCUGAAAUCCUCACUAAGCCCACCCUCCCAUCUCCCUGAACUACGGGACUAGCUGUGUCCUGCAGCAGCCCAGCAUGUGCCGUUGAGCUGGCCUUUUCUCAGGCCCAGUGCCCAAGGAGGAGCUGAUUGCAUAGGCUCAGAGUUUCCAGGAAGAGUGGGGACUCAGAUGUCUGCCCAGGUGUCUCCACCGCGUCCGCCAGGGCCUCCAGCUUUCCUAACCAGGACCCUGGCCUCUGGCCUUGAUAACUACCUACAAGUUUUCUGAUUUAUUCAUUAGUGGAUUUGUUCGUGAUCAGCCC